GACGAACGCUGGCGGCGUGCUUAACACAUGCAAGUCGAACGGAGUGGCGAACGGGUGAGUAACACGUGGGUGACCUGCCCUGCACUUCGGGAUAAGCCUGGGAAACUGGGUCUAAUACCGGAUAGUGUGGGAUGGGCCCGCGGCCUAUCAGCUUGUUGGUGGGGUAAUGGCCUACCAAGGCGGCGACGGGUAGCCGGCCUGGGAGGGUGGACGGCCACAUUGGGCUGAGGCCCCGGCCAAGACUCCUACGGGAGGCAGCAGUGGGGAAUAUUGCAAAAUGGGCGGAAGCUUGAGGCGGGGCGGCGGGGGGGGGAUGACGGCCUUCGGGUUGUAAACUCCUUUCACCAUCGACGCGGUAGAUGGAGAAGAAGCACCGGCUAACUACGUGCCAGCAGCCGCGGUAAUAC
rnacentral:rRNA from 1 species